GUGGCGGAUUUUGCGAGUAAAAGGGAAGCCUUCUUUGACUCACGAGGAUGGUUGGAUUCUGACUCCGAAGAUGACUUUGUCAGUGUCAACGGAGAUUCAACUCCUUUCAGCUUCAGUACAAACAAAGCAUUCUCUGCUGAUACAUUUCCUGUC